AUUGAACGCUGGCGGCAUGCCUUACACAUGCAAGUCGAACGGUAACAGGUCUUCGGAUGCUGACGAGUGGCGAACGGGUGAGUAAUACAUCGGAACGUGCCCGAUCGUGGGGGAUAACGAGGCGAAAGCUUUGCUAAUACCGCAUGCGAUCUACGGAUGAAAGCGGGGGAUCUUCGGACCUCGCGCGGACGGAGCGGCCGAUGGCAGAUUAGGUAGUUGGUGGGAUAAAAGCUUACCAAGCCGACGAUCUGUAGCUGGUCUGAGAGGAUGAUCAGCCACACUGGGACUGAGACACGGCCCAGACUCCUACGGGAGGCAGCAGUGGGGAAUUUUGGACAAUGGGCGAAAGCCUGAUCCAGCCAUGCCGCGUGCAGGAUGAAGGCCUUCGGGUUGUAAACUGCUUUUGUACGGAACGAAAAGCCUCUUUCUAAUAAAGAGGGGUCAUGACGGUACCGUAAGAAUAAGCACCGGCUAACUACGUG
rnacentral:rRNA from 1 species